CCUACGUGCGGCAGCAGUAGGGAAUCUUCCACAAUGGGCGAAAGCCUGAUGGAGCAACGCCGCGUGGGUGAAGAAGGUCUUCGGCUCGUAAAACCCUGUUGUUAGAGAAGAAAGUGCGUGAGAGUAACUGUUCACGUUUCGACGGUAUCUAACCAGAAAGCCACGGCUAACUACGUGCCAGCAGCCGCGGUAAUACGUAGGUGGCAAGCGUUAUCCGGAUUUAUUGGGCGUAAAGGGAACGCAGGCGGUCUUUUAAGUCUGAUGUGAAAGCCUUCGGCUUAACCGGAGUAGUGCAUUGGAAACUGGGAGACUUGAGUGCAGAAGAGGAGAGAGGAACUCCAUGUGUAGCGGUGAAAUGCGGAGAUAUAUGGAAGAACACCAGUGGCGAAAGCGGCUCUCGGGUCUGUAACUGACGCUGAGGUUCGAAAGCGUGGGUAGCAAACAGGAUUAGAUACCCUUGUAGUC
rnacentral:rRNA from 1 species